AUUGAACGCUGGCGGCAGGCCUAACACAUGCAAGUCGAGCGAGCGGCGGACGGGUGAGUAAUGUAUGGGGACUGCCCGAUAGAGGGGGAUAACUACCGGAAACAGUGGCUAAUACCGCAUACUACCGGCAAGCCCAUAUGGGAUUAGCUAGUAGGUGGGGUAAAGGCUCACCUAGGCGACGAUCUCUAGCUGGUCUGAGAGGAUGAUCAGCCACACUGGGACUGAGACACGUCCCAGACUCCUACGGUGGCAGCAGUGGGGAAUAUUGCACAAUGGGCGCAAGCCUGAUCCAGCCAUGCCGCGUGUAUGAAGAAGGCCUUAGGGUUGUAAAGUACUUUCAGCGGGGAGGCGUUACCCGCAGAAGAAGCACCGGCUAACUCCGUGCCAGCAGCCGCGGUAAUUC
rnacentral:rRNA from 1 species